GAAUGGAUUCAUGUAGCUGAACUCAAGUAAAUGGGAUAAAGGCUUCUUCAGUUGAGUUGAUUUGAGUGGAGUUAAAUCUUCCAAAAUAUGUUCAAUAUUUCUUCAAAAGCUGAAAUUCUUACUGUACUGAAGUUGAUCUUGAAGUUCCUUUCUCAUACCUUAUCAUAUUUUACAGAUUUUAAUUGGGCGCUUCAAACUCUUAACCGAAUUAAGUAUAGUGAAACUUCUUCCAUUUUUUGUUAAAGAUCUUGGUUUUCACUGACUUCUCUCAGUUUCUUAUCUCCUUCUUGUUUCCUAGAUUGGCCAUUGGGUUUCUUACCAAGGCAGUACUCUUAGUCUCUUACCUACGAUCUCUUUACCCCUUUAUUUGAAUUGUUCUAGUUAUUAUCUCUGUUCUAAAAUUCCUCGCCUAGCCCCCCCGGGCCGCCAGGACGCUAGGCCCCGCCUAGGCGCUGGGCCCUCUGCCGGCUUAACGCUAGCGCUUUUUUUUUUUUUUUUUAGGACCUAGUUUCUAAUUUUUAUGUAUUUUAGAGGACCUCAAUGGUCAUUUUCGAUCUUCCUCAUUUUGUAUUAUUCAAUAUUAAACAUUGAAACUUACUAUGUGAUAUCAUUUUUUGGUUAAAAUUUGAAUAUUUGGUCAUUAUUAUUAGUGUUAAAAAACUUAAUGAUUUAAAUAAUAAAUAAAUAAUAAUAUAAAAAACGCCUAGGCCCCGCCUAGGCGGCUCGCCUAGGCGCUAGGCCCCAUCCGGCCGUCCGAUACACCUAGCCGAUUUUUCGAACUUGGUUCUGUUCCAAUGUUAUUUAAUUUGGCAUGUAAUUCAAUACAUGGUGUGAGAUUUAAUAAAGCACUUUAAGGUAGUAAAGUUCAUGAAUUUCUUAACAUAUUAGUGAGAAAGAUAUUGUAUAGUUGAUUAUGUCUAUAGACAAUAUGGUAAUUAUCACACUAAAAUAAAUCAAGUACCUGUGCCAGACACUUCACAAUUGGACAAAAGUGUGGGUAAUGUGUUUGAUACUUUCCUCAGAACCCAUGCUAAACUGAUUUUUGUUGCUUUUGGUGAUCAAAUUAGCCAAGAUAAUGUGCUUACUACUUGCAUGAAACAAGUAAAAGCAAAGUAAUCGAAACCAUAAGUAGCCUAAGUAAAAAAUUUAGUCAAGGGCAGCCACUCUGGUGGUGA
rnacentral:lncRNA from 1 species